GUCUAAUUACAAACUCACAUUUCCUUCAUGGCUAACUCACAGGUUUACCCCCUUUAAAAUAUCUUCAGAUCAAGCUCUGGCUUCUUCCCUUUUUCGGAAUGGUGUUUAUGUUUGAGUGCAUGUUGACUUAGCAUCCAGUGAUUUAAAGUAUAUUUAUUUCAGCCAGGGGCGGUAGCUCACCCCUGUAAUCCCAGGACUCUGAGAGCCUGAGGCAAGUGGAUCAGAAAUUUGACACCAGCCUGACCAACAUGGCGAAGCUCCAUCUCUGCUAAAAAUACAAAAUUAGCUGGGUGUUGUGGUACAUGCCUGUAAUCCCAGAUACUCAGGAGGCUGAGGCAGGAGAAUCACUUGAACCUGGGAUGUGGAGGUUGCAGUGAGCUGAGAUCACACCAUUGCACUCCAGCCUGGGUGACAGAGCAAGACUCCAUCUCAAAAAAAAAAGUUUUUUUAUUCAUCUCUCCAAGUAGAUUUAUGGGUUAUAUAUUCUAUUUAAAAUAUAAUAGACUACUACUGAAAUUUGAAUCAGAAAACUGAUUUAGAAGCCAUCUAGUCCAAUAUCCUCCUCUGUAGUGGCUACUGAAAAUGGUGUCUCUCCCAAGCUUGGAUGUCUUUUUGAUUUUAAAAGCCUCCAUCUGUGAUUUUCUUUAUAGGAAAGGCCUUGGGCUAGUGGAGUCCCUUUGUCCAGACACAGAGAGCUAGAAGUGCCUGGGAGUUUAGUGUUACCAUCCCCAGCCCUGUCCUUGUACCAGCCAAUGACUGACAGAUAGCCAUGAGUGGACCUGUCUUGGAUCUUCACUGUGAGAACCUGGUGAGAUUCCUGGAAGUCAAGACCAUGAGAGUGUGCAUUCCCCCUAAGACUUGGCACCAAGGAACUUUUUGCACAUUCAGCCCUCAGUAGUGAAACUACCAUUAAGUGUUCCUACUAGUUUAUGGCUCCAGCAUCUUUUCCCUUAGAAUCGAAAGAAUACCACCCAAACGGAGAAGAAGUAAUAUUAAUUAUUGUUGUGGAAGGAGAAAUUAUUUUCUUGGGCAAAGAUUCCACUUUAUUCUGGAGCGUGCCCUUUUCAGGUAAUUGUGACGUCUACAGUAAGUAACCUGCAGAAUUUUAUCUCUUUAAUCUUUACAGAGAAAAAGAGCCGGUGUGAUGAAUAAUCCGGCAGUCUGAUCUGUAAGCAACAUGCUUCUCCUUAUUUUUCAGCAAAUGGUUUUUUGUAGCUUCAGAUAUCAGAGGAAUUGAUUAGAUUCUUGAGUUAUUUAUACAUGCAAAGUUAAGUGGAGA
ensembl:lncRNA